rnacentral:rRNA from 1 species
UACGUAGGGUGCGAGCGUUGUCCGGAAUUAUUGGGCGUAAAGAGCUCGUAGGCGGUGUGUCGCGUCGGCCGUGAAAACCUGCAGCUUAACUGUGGGCUUGCGGUCGAUACGGGCAUCACUGGAGUUCGGCAGGGGAGACUGGAAUUCCUGGUGUAGCGGUGAAAUGCGCAGAUAUCAGGAGGAACACCAAUGGCGAAGGCAGCUCGCUGGAACGGUACUGACGCUGAGGCGCGAAAGCGUGGGGAGCGAACAGG